rnacentral:rRNA from 1 species
GAUGAACGCUGGCGGCGUGCCUAAUACAUGCAAGUCGAGCGAACGGACGAGAAGCUUGCUUCUCUGAUGUUAGCGGCGGACGUGUGAGUAACACGUGGAUAACCUACCUAUAAGACUUGGAUAACUUCGGGAAACCGGAGCUAAUACCGGAUAAUAUUUUGAACCGCAUGGUUCAAAAGUGAAAGACGGUCUUGCUGUCACUUAUAGAUGGAUCCGCGCUGCAUUAGCUAGUUGGUAAGGUAACGGCUUACCAAGGCAACGAUGCAUAGCCGACCUGAGAGGGGGAUCGGCCAAACUGGAACUGAGACACGGUCCAGACUCCUACGGGAGGCAGCAGUAGGGAAUAUUCCGAAAUGGGCGAAAGCAUGACGGAGCAACGCCGCGUGAGUGAUGAAGGUCUUAGGAUCGUAAAACUCUGUUAUUAGGGAAGAACAUAUGUGUAAGUAACUGUGCACAUCUUGACGGUAACUAAUCAGAAAGCCACGGCUAACUACGUG